UCUUCAACACCUGGCCAUGAUGGAGCGAGUUCUUGGACCAUUACCUUCAAACAUGCUGCGACUUGCAGCCCGAGAUGCUGAGAGGUAUGUUCGAAGGGGUCAUUUGAAUUGGCCCGAGGGUGCAACCUCAAGAGAGAGCAUGAAAGCUGUGUUGAAACUUCCUCGGCUGCAGAAUCUGGUGAUGCAGCACACGGAUCAUUCAGCUGGGGACCUCAUCGAUCUUUUA